GACGAAUGCUGGCUGCGUGCUUAACACAUGCAAGUCGAACGGUGAAAGGGAGCUUGCUCCCUGGAUCAGUGGCGAACGGGUGAGUAACACGUGGGCAACCUGCCCCUCACUCUGGGAUAACUCCGGGAAACCGGGGCUAAUACCGGAUACGACCCGGUGCGACAUCGCACCGGGGGGAAAGAACUUCGGUGAGGGAUGGGCCCGCGGCCUAUCAGCUUGUUGGUGGGGUAACGGCCCACCAAGGCGACGACGGGGAGUCGGCCUGAGAGGGCGACCGGCCACACUGGGACUGAGACACGGCCAGGACACCUACGGGAGGCAGCAGUGGGGAAUAUUGCGGAAUGGGCGAAAGCCUGACGCGGCGACGCAGCGUGAGGGACGAAGGCCUUCGGGUUGUAAACCUCUUUCAGCGGGGACGAAGCGAAAGUGACGGUACCCGCAGAAGAAGCACCGGCUAACUACGUGCCAGCCGCCGCGGUAAAAC
rnacentral:rRNA from 1 species